UACGUAGGGUGCAAGCGUUGUCCGGAAUUAUUGGGCGUAAAGAGCUCGUAGGCGGUUUGUCGCGUCUGCUGUGAAAACUCGGGGCUUAACCCCGGGCCUGCAGUGGGUACGGGGCAGACUAGAGUGCGGUAGGGGGAGACUGGAAUUCCUGGUGUAGCGGUGAAAUGCGCAGAUAUCAGGAGGAACACCGGUGGCGAAGGCGGGUCUCUGG
rnacentral:rRNA from 1 species